UUGUGAGAGGAUCAUUUUAGCUCACAAAUGGAAUGUUCCGUUGUGUUACAGACACUUUCCAUUGCCCACACAGAAAAAGACAAACAUCCCCAUCCGUGCACGAUUCCCCUUCGUUGUCAUCCCUGAAAGGUAUCUUUAGCAGAGAAAGCAAGCCAAAGACCUCUGAAUCAUCUCUCUCCACAGCAGCAGGUUUAUCAUCCACAGCCCUUCGGCUUUGCACUAUUCUGACUACGGCACCAGAGUCCCGUUCAGCGAUUGCAGAUGGCUGCGAUGUUGCAAACACUUGUGGAAGCAUCUGGACCAAAGUUGCCACCUCCACAGCCACAUCGCUAUCAGCGCUGAAAACAAAGCGGCUCGUCAUGAGUCCAUUCACUUCAGGUUUACAGUGGUGCUCUCGAGAUGCUUUCUUUGCCAAAGUAUUGCAAUUUUAACAUUUUUAAAUUCAAGAAUAAACAUCUAAAGAGGGUUUUUUUAAUUUAGUUUUCUUGUUUAAUGCAACAACACUGCAAUUCAUCCCAAUACAGCUUGUUUGAAGUUGAAUAUUAGUAUAUUAAUAUUAGUGUGCGGCCUUCUGGCAGGUGGUGGAGGAUCUUGUGAUGUUCCUAAUAACGCCACGUCUGGACGGUCCGGACCAUCAGCUGAGAAUCAGGUGCUUACUAAAUAUUUAGGAGGAUGAAAGCUUCCUGCUGGGCAAAGGCACUAAGAGCUCAGCUCAGAGCUUCUUCUCUGUGUCUCAGUGGUGGAGUCUGUGAAUGUACUAUUUGGAUUUUGUACUCGUACGUCACGUGCAGUUUUCUAUUUUAUGUUGCUUUAUACUUCUGGUCCAUAAAAUGUACUUUUUCCUCCCCUACAUAUAUUUAAGAGGUUUAGUUAAUAUACAUAUAUCUUUAAAGUAUAUAAAGUAUGAAUGACAUAGAUAACAGUAUACACUUAAUGGUGCUUCUUUUGAUAAUUGUAUGUAGUGUACAUUUAGCCAGUGACAGUUCUGUACCUUCAGUGAAGUAACAUUUUGAAGUGACGACUUGUUAAUGUUUAAACUGUCAUUUCUUUCACAACUGGUGUCUUCGGCAACAUCCACACCAAUAUCUAUUGGUGUGGAUGUUGCUUUCUAUUUAAUAUCUUUCUAUUUAUUUAUAUUUAUUACUCUUGUUCCCACGUUUAGACCCGACGUCCAAGUUUCACCAGUUUUCUUUUUUUCCUAAAACACUAACGAUUGAGAGCCGCUUGAAUUUGAAUAGCAUUAGUCCGGUCAGAAACAGAACCACAGAAACAUUUUUCAGGUAAACCUUUUAAAACAUUAGUGGUGAGAGACGUGUUCAUCACUUCCGGUGUUUCAUUUUUCAACAUUAAGAACUAAAUAUUUUUCGCUCACUAAUUCUGUGUUCGUUGCACUGCUAUUAGCCCCCUGACUGUGCUGAUGUCUUUGACCUGUGUGUAAACAAUAAUAAAAUGUUGAAUCAAG